AACGAACGCUGGCGGCGCGCCUAAUACAUGCAAGUCGAACGAGAAGCUGUAGCAAUACAGUUGUACAGUGGCGAACGGGUGAGGAAUACAUGGGUGACCUACCCUCGAGUGGGGAAUAACCAGCCGAAAGGUUGGCUAAUACCGCGUACGCUUCCCAGUCUACGGGUUGGGAAGGAAAGCGAUGCCGUGGGUAUCGCGCUCAAGGUUGGGCUCAUGUCCUAUCAGCUUGGGUGGGGUAACGGCUCACCAAGGCAACGACGGGUAGCUGGUCUGAGAGGACGAUCAGCCACACUGGCACUGCGACACGGGCCAGACUCCUACGGGAGGCAGCAGUAAGGAAUAUUGCGCAAUGGGCGAAAGCCUGACGCAGCGACGCCGCGUGGGGGAGUGAAGGUC
rnacentral:rRNA from 1 species